CGCGUAGGCGGUGCGGUAAGUCACCUGUGAAACCUCCGGGCUCAACUCGGAGCCUGCAGGCGAAACUGCCGUGCUGGAGUGUGGGAGGGGUGCGUGGAAUUCCCGGUGUAGCAGUGAAAUGCGUAGAGAUCGGGAGGAACACCUGUGGCGAAAGCGGCGCACUGGACCACAACUGACGCUGAGGCGCGAAAGCUAGGGGAGCAAACAGGAUUAGAUACCCUGGUAGUCCUAGCCCUAAACGAUGGAUGCUUGGUGUAGCCGGUACCCAAUCCGGCUGUGCCGCAGCUAACGCGAUAAGCACCCCGCCUGGGGAGUACGGUCGCAAGGCUGAA
rnacentral:rRNA from 1 species